UACAGAGGGUGCAAGCGUUAAUCGGAAUUACUGGGCGUAAAGCGCGUGUAGGCGGUUUUCCAAGUUGGGUGUGAAAGCCUUGGGCUUAACCCAAGAAAUGCACUCAGUACUGGAAGACUAGAGGACCCGGAGAGGAGUAGGUGGAAUUCCCAGUGUAGUGGUGAAAUACGUAGAGAUUGGGAAGAACGACCAGUGGCGAAGGCGGCUAUCUGGAC
rnacentral:rRNA from 1 species